rnacentral:rRNA from 1 species
AGUGAACGCUGGCGGCGUGCUUAACACAUGCAAGUCGAACGAGAACGGAUUAUAGCUUGCUAUAAUUGUCAGCUAAGUGGCGCACGGGUGAGUAAUGUAUAGGUAAUAUGCCUCUUACUAAGGGAUAACAAAUGGAAACGUUUGCUAAUACCUUAUACUCCUUAUUAACCUAAGUUAAUAAGGGAAAGAUUUAUUGGUAAGAGAUUAGCCUGUAUUGUAUCAGCUAGUUGGUUGGGUAAUGGCUUACCAAGACUAUGACACAUAACUGGGUUGAGAGGAUGAUCAGUCACACUGGAGCUGAGACACAGUCCAGACUCCUACGGGAGGCAGCAGUGGGGAAUAUUGCACAAUGGACGAAAGUCUGAUGCAGCAUCGCCGCGUGGAGGAUGACACAUUUCGGUGCGUAAACUCCUUUUAUAUGAGAAGAUAAUGACGGUAUUAUAUGAAUAAGCACCGGCUAACUCCGUGCCAGCCGCCGCAGUAA